UGGGGAAUUUUGGACAAUGGGCGCAAGCCUGAUCCAGCAAUGCCGCGUGCAGGAUGAAGGCCUUCGGGUUGUAAACUGCUUUUGUACGGAGCGAAAAGGUCUGCCCUAAUACGGUGGGCUCAUGACGGUACCGUAAGAAUAAGCACCGGCUAACUACGUGCCAGCAGCCGCGGUAAUACGUAUGGUGCAAGCGUUAAUCGUAAUUACUGGGCGUAAAGCGUGCGCAGGCGGUUAUGCAAGACAGAGGUGAAAUCCCCGGGCUCAACCUGGGACCUGCAUUUGUGACUGUAUAGCUAGAGUACGGUAGAGGGGGAUGGAAUUCCGCGUGUAGCAGUGAAAUGCGUAGAUAUGCGGAGGAACACCGAUGGCGAAGGCAAUCCCCUGGACCUGUACUGACGCUCAUGCACGAAAGCGUGGGGAGCAAACA
rnacentral:rRNA from 1 species